UAUUAAGUAACAUCCAUCCAGUCCAUCCAGCCUCAUUUGCUCUUCGAAACUAAGCAAGGCUGAGCCUAGCUAGAACUUGGGUGGAAGACUGUCUGUGAAUACCAGGUGCUGUAAGAA
ensembl:rRNA 5S_rRNA 5S ribosomal RNA